UUUUAGAAAUAAUUUAGUGGGUUUGAGGAUAUUCUUCCAAGAUCUGACAUACAAUGAGGUGGAGCACGUACCAGAAUUCAACUUAAAAGGAAUUUUCGGAUCAGUUGGUGGUCAAAUGGGAUUUUUUCUUGGUGCCAGUAUGAUAUCUGUCACUGAGUUCCUGCUAGCUAUUAUAAAGUUAAUGACCAAUGGUCUACAGUGGGUGACAAACCAACAACCCAAUAAGAAAGUUAAACCUUUCAUCGACAAAUAACUGACUUCUGUAUUCUAUCAAUAGGGAUGUGAUGAUACACCGGUACAGUCGGUAUACAGUGGUACAAAUAUGUCACGUUGUAUUGUAUCACAUGAAAAUAAUACCGGUGUAUAUUACUUCAGCAAAUGUAAACAACAGUAAAUAAAGUAAUUAACAAUCAA